rnacentral:tRNA from 4 species
ACCUUAAUAGCAAAGCGGUAAUGCAGGGGACCUAAGCUCCCUCAUCAAAAGUUCAACUCUUUUUUAAGGUU